AUGUAGACUGGGCUAGCCUUUAACUUGCAG
rnacentral:piRNA from 1 species